rnacentral:rRNA from 1 species
UACGUAGGGUGCGAGCGUUAAUCGGAAUUACUGGGCGUAAAGCGUGCGCAGGCGGUUUUGUAAGCCGGAUGUGAAAUCCCCGGGCUUAACCUGGGAAUGGCAUUCGGGACUGCAAGGCUGGAGUGCGGCAGAGGAGACUGGAAUUCCGUGGUGUAGCAGUGAAAUGCGUAGAUAUCAGGAGGAACACCGAGUGGCGAAGGCAGGUCUCUGGGCUGACACUGACGCUCAU